rnacentral:rRNA from 1 species
CCUACGGGCGGCAGCAGUGAGGAAUAUUGGUCAAUGGACGAGAGUCUGAACCAGCCAAGUAGCGUGAAGGAUGACUGCCCUAUGGGUUGUAAACUUCUUUUAUAUGGGAAUAAAAUGUUCCACGUGUGGGAUUUUGUAUGUACCAUAUGAAUAAGGAUCGGCUAACUCCGUGCCAGCAGCCGCGGUAAUACGGAGGAUCCGAGCGUUAUCCGGAUUUAUUGGGUUUAAAGGGAGCGUAGGUGGAUUGUUAAGUCAGUUGUGAAAGUUUGCGGCUCAACCGUAAAAUUGCAGUUGAAACUGGCAGUCUUGUGUACAGUAGAGGUGGGCGGAAGUCGUGGUGUAGCGGUGAAAUGCUUAGAUAUCACGAAGAACUCCGAUUGCGAAGGCAGUUCACUGGACUGCAACUGACACUGAGGCUCGAAAGUGUGGGUAUCAAACAGGAUUAGAUACCCCUGUAGUC